rnacentral:rRNA from 1 species
UGGGGAAUAUUGGACAAUGGGCGCAAGCCUGAUCCAGCCAUGCCGCGUGGGUGAAGAAGGCCUUAGGGUUGUAAACCCCUUUCACCGGUGACGAUGAUGACGGUAGCCGGAGAAGAAGCCCCGGCUAACUCCGUGCCAGCAGCCGCGGUAAUACGGAGGGGGCAAGCGUUGUUCGGAAUUACUGGGCGUAAAGGGCGCGUAGGCGGUCUGUCGCGUCAGGUGUGAAAGCCCCGGGCUCAACCUGGGAGGUGCACUUGAUACGGGCGGACUGGAAUCCGGGAGAGGAUGGUGGAAUUCCCAGUGUAGAGGUGAAAUUCGUAGAUAUUGGGAAGAACACCGGUGGCGAAGGCGCUCUGCUAGGCCGCAACUGACACUGAGGGACGAAAGCUAGGGGAGCGAAUGGGAUUAGAUACCCCCGUAGUCC